rnacentral:rRNA from 1 species
UACGUAGGGUGCAAGCGUUAAUCGGAAUUACUGGGCGUAAAGCGUGCGCAGGCGGUUGUGUAAGUCAGAUGUGAAAUCCCCGGGCUCAACCUGGGAACUGCAUUUGUGACUGCACGGCUCGAGUGCGGCAGAGGGGGAUGGAAUUCCGCGUGUAGCAGUGAAAUGCGUAGAGAUGCGGAGGAACACCGAUGGCGAAGGCAGCCCCCUGGGCUAGCACUGACGCUCAGGCACGAAAGCGUGGGGAGCAAACAGG